GAACCAUGAUGGGACACUAGUUAAGUAACUUUUUAAAACGUUCCCAUGCUUGAUACAAAACCUCACUAUCCUUUUGUGUACAAGUUGAAAUUUGCCUUUUUAAAGC